CACCAUGAACAUCGAUAGAUACACCAAGGAUAUGCCAACAGGACGUGCCAAAGUAGCUAAGCAGAGACAUAUUUUGGUUUUAUUUUUUCAGAAUAUAUAAUAAUAUUACUUACCAAAUAUUAAAGUAAAUGGCAAUAAUAAUCGCACCAGAAAAUGAAAACCCGAGAAUCACAAGUUCCGAUUCAAGCACAUACAAAAAACUGAUAUAUAUUUCUAAAAUAUGUAUAUAAUGGGAGGCUCAACAGGCAACUUUGAUUGUUUUCUGUAAAUUUAUUUUUGAAUAACGGUUGCUUACGUACUAGAGAAAGCACUUCCGAAUAUAUUUUAUCAUAGAAGACCGCAUUUUACUGCCACUAAAUUAAAGAGUUUAUUUGCUAUGUGCAUCAAAUCACUGGAACCAGCGUGGAACCAGUCAGUGUUAAAUAACACCAUUUGGACUUUGGCGGGACU